rnacentral:lncRNA from 1 species
UCUUAGCAGCUUUUAAGUAAGAACAAAAUUGGCACUGAAAUCCAACUUAUUUCUCUUCUACCCAGGCACUACCUAGAGUCCAUUGAAAAUUGGACUUCACGGUCAACUUGCUCCUUGCUAACAACUGAACAAACAAUUGAGGCAUUUGGCAGGCCAUGAGUGAGAGCCAGAGGUCAUUUUGAGAGGCUACGUUCAGCCCUUCAAUAAAUUUUAGACACAUUGUCCCAUCUGAAGGCAUCCGGGACCAGGGAUCCCUCAGUCAACUGUCAGCCAGCCUCUAGGAGGAGAGCCAACAGGUUGACAUGUACUGGCCAGAGCCCUGUGGCAACCCCGACAAGACCAACAGAACCAGGCAGCAGCACUCACCCUGACUCAAAGUAUGGCAAGCUAAAUAGUCACAGUCACUGCCGUAUCACCAGCAGAUGGGGAAGAAACAGCACAGGCUGGUACCUGGGUCAUGUAAUACUGAGUGCAAAUAAAAAGGUUCCCAGUAUUGUUCUCAAUGGUCGACCUUCUGUAACGUCAUAA